rnacentral:sRNA from 1 species
GGCCUGGAACUAGUGAACCAAUAGAAUACCAUUCCAACAUUAGGGCCCUUCCUUGCUCAUUAAAGUGUCUUUCCUGAAGACUGAGAUUGGCCUUUUCUUUUUCUUGCUGAGGAAAAAAUUAAAAUGAGAAUGACAUAGAGUACUUGUUAACAGAUUGGACCCUGUACUAGUACUGCACUAUUUCGCCAUAUAUACAAUGUACUUUCUGGGAGUUUUUCUUUACUAUGCAAUGUGAUAACAACCUGAGCGUGAUGAGAUAAUCUGUUGCUUAGCCUGUCACUGAAGAUUUGGGAACAAAAAGAACUAUCAAGUUGGUGUCAAAAAAGAGCUCAUGAUGCAUUCCAGUUGGAACAAGGUGGCCAGCCUGAUGCCAAAAAUUGUGAAAAACUUUAACGCCCAGGACAUUGUCUGUGGGACUUUCACAUUUGACUCUGAUGACGUU